UACGAAGGGGGCUAGCGUUGCUCGGAAUCACUGGGCGUAAAGGGCGCGUAGGCGGACUCUUAAGUCGGGGGUGAAAGCCCAGGGCUCAACCCUGGAAUUGCCUUCGAUACUGAGAGUCUUGAGUUCGGAAGAGGUUGGUGGAACUGCGAGUGUAGAGGUGAAAUUCGUAGAUAUUCGCAAGAACACCAGUGGCGAAGGCGGCCAACUGGUCCGAUACUGACGCUGAGGCGCGAAAAGCGUGGGGAGCAAA
rnacentral:rRNA from 1 species